CCUGGCUCAGGAUGAACGCUAGCUACAGGCUUAACACAUGCAAGUCGAGGGGCAGCAUUUUAGUUUGCUUGCAAACUGAAGAUGGCGACCGGCGCACGGGUGAGUAACACGUAUCCAACCUGCCGAUAACUCGGGGAUAGCCUUUCGAAAGAAAGAUUAAUAUCCGAUAGUAUAUUAAAACCGCAUGGUUUUACUAUUAAAGAAUUUCGGUUAUCGAUGGGGAUGCGUUCCAUUAGUUUGUUGGCGGGGUAACGGCCCACCAAGACUACGAUGGAUAGGGGUUCUGAGAGGAAGGUCCCCCACAUUGGAACUGAGACACGGUCCAAACUCCUACGGGAGGCAGCAGUGAGGAAUAUUGGUCAAUGGACGAGAGUCUGAACCAGCCAAGUAGCGUGAAGGAUGACUGCCCUAUGGGUUGUAAACUUCUUUUAUAUGGGAAUAAAGUAUUCCACGUGUGGGAUUUUGUAUGUACCAUAUGAAUAAGGAUCGGCUAACUCCGUGCCAGCAGCCGCGGUAAUACGGAGGAUCCGAGCGUUAUCCGGAUUUAUUGGGUUUAAAGGGAGCGUAGGUGGAUUGUUAAGUCAGUUGUGAAAGUUUGCGGCUCAACCGUAAAAUUGCAGUUGAAACUGGCAGUCUUGAGUACAGUAGAGGUGGGCGGAAUUCGUGGUGUAGCGGUGAAAUGCUUAGAUAUCACGAAGAACUCCGAUUGCGAAGGCAGCUCACUAGACUGCAACUGACACUGAUGCUCGAAAGUGUGGGUAUCAAACAGGAUUAGAUACCCUGGUAGUCCACACAGUAAACGAUGAAUACUCGCUGUUUGCGAUAUACAGUAAGCGGCCAAGCGAAAGCAUUAAGUAUUCCACCUGGGGAGUACGCCGGCAACGGUGAAACUCAAAGGAAUUGACGGGGGCCCGCACAAGCGGAGGAACAUGUGGUUUAAUUCGAUGAUACGCGAGGAACCUUACCCGGGCUUAAAUUGCAACAGAAUAUAUUGGAAACAGUAUAGCCGUAAGGCUGUUGUGAAGGUGCUGCAUGGUUGUCGUCAGCUCGUGCCGUGAGGUGUCGGCUUAAGUGCCAUAACGAGCGCAACCCUUAUCUUUAGUUACUAACAGGUCAUGCUGAGGACUCUAGAGAGACUGCCGUCGUAAGAUGUGAGGAAGGUGGGGAUGACGUCAAAUCAGCACGGCCCUUACGUCCGGGGCUACACACGUGUUACAAUGGGGGGUACAGAAGGCGGCUACCUGGUGACAGGAUGCUAAUCCCAAAAACCUCUCUCAGUUCGGAUCGAAGUCUGCAACCCGACUUCGUGAAGCUGGAUUCGCUAGUAAUCGCGCAUCAGCCAUGGCGCGGUGAAUACGUUCCCGGGCCUUGUACACACCGCCC
rnacentral:rRNA from 1 species